AAUCCCAAAGGACUGGACACGUUACCUCCCAGAUAAUGAAUAUUCCAUAUCUUACCCAAAUACAGGUUUACAGCCAAUUCUUAUUAACAAAAGUAAAAUUUAUUAAAAAAAAGAAAAGAGACAGCUAUCAGCCAUGUUAG